CCUACGAGCGGCAGCAGUGAGGAAUAUUGGUCCAUGGGCGCGAGCCUGAACCAGCCAAGUAGCGUGAAGGAUGACUGCCCUACGGGUUGUAAACUUCUUUUAUAAAGGAAUAAAGUGAGGCACGUGUGCCUUUUUGUAUGUCCUUUAUGAAUAAGGAUCGGCUAACUCCGUGCCAGCAGCCGCGGUAAUACGGAGGAUCCGAGCGUUAUCCGGAUUUAUUGGGUUUAAAGGGAGCGUAGAUGGGUUGUUAAGUCAGUUGUGAAAGUUUGCGGCUCAACCGUAAAAUUGCAAUUGAUACUGGCAGUCUUGAGUACAGUUGAGGUAGGCGGAAUUCGGGGUGUAGCGGUGAAAUGCUUAGAUAUCACGAAGAACUCCGAUUGCGAAGGCAGCUUACUAAACUGCCACUGACAUUGAUGCUCGAAAGUGUGGGUAUCAAACAGGAUUAGAUACCCGUGUAGUC
rnacentral:rRNA from 1 species